GAUGAACGCUGGCGGCGUGCCUAAUACAUGCAAGUCGAGCGAACAGACGAGGAGCUUGCUCCUCUGACGUUAGCGGCGGACGGGUGAGUAACACGUGGAUAACCUACCUAUAAGACUGGGAUAACUUCGGGAAACCGGAGCUAAUACCGGAUAAUAUAUUGAACCGCAUGGUUCAAUAGUGAAAGACGGUUUUGCUGUCACUUAUAGAUGGAUCCGCGCCGCAUUAGCUAGUUGGUAAGGUAACGGCUUACCAAGGCGACGAUGCGUAGCCGACCUGAGAGGGUGAUCGGCCACACUGGAACUGAGACACGGUCCAGACUCCUACGGGAGGCAGCAGUAGGGAAUCUUCCGCAAUGGGCGAAAGCCUGACGGAGCAACGCCGCGUGAGUGAUGAAGGUCUUCGGAUCGUAAAACUCUGUUAUUAGGGAAGAACAAAUGUGUAGGUAACUAUGCACGUCUUGACGGUACCUAAGCAGAAAGCCACGGCUAACUACGU
rnacentral:rRNA from 1 species